rnacentral:rRNA from 1 species
AUUGAACGCUGGCGGCAGGCCUAACACAUGCAAGUCGAGCGGAUGAAGGGAGCUUGCUCCUGGAUUCAGCGGCGGACGGGUGAGUAAUGCCUAGGAAUCUGCCUGGUAGUGGGGGAUAACGUCCGGAAACGGGCGCUAAUACCGCAUACGUCCUGAGGGAGAAAGUGGGGGAUCUUCGGACCUCACGCUAUCAGAUGAGCCUAGGUCGGAUUAGCUAGUUGGUGGGGUAAAGGCCUACCAAGGCGACGAUCCGUAACUGGUCUGAGAGGAUGAUCAGUCACACCGGAACUGAGACACGGUCCAGACUCCUACGGGAGGCAGCAGUGGGGAAUAUUGGACAAUGGGCGAAAGCCUGAUCCAGCCAUGCCGCGUGUGUGAAGAAGGUCUUCGGAUUGUAAAGCACUUUAAGUUGGGAGGAGGGGCAGUAAGUUAAUACCUUGCUGUUUUGACGUUACCAACAGAAUAAGCACCGGCUAACUUCGUG